AUGCUUUUGUGCUUCACAAGCAUGAUGAUUAAGUGUUUACAAGUCUACUGACAUGUGACUCCCUCAAGUCUUGUUCCAACAUUGAUAUAUUACCCAUCAGAUU